ensembl:lncRNA
AUGCAUGAGAAUAUGAGGGCACUUUGUGUGUAUCUGUCAGUGUUUUUGUAUCGUUUUGAAGUGCAAAUCUUUUCAACAAACUAUUGUCAGAGGAAAAUAUGCAACCCUAUAUGUAUUUAUUUCCCAAAGUCAGAUAAACCUGAAGUAGUGAAAUGGAGAAAAAAAAAAAAAAAAAAAAAUUUUAAAUCAAUUAGCAUUUUUUGAGAAACGGUAUUAAAAUCCUUUAAGAACAUAAUUCUAAUAUGAUACCUAAAACCUAAUAUUAAUCAACUCACACCAUAAACCGUUAAACUUACAUUUUGAGGGAUGUUCUCGGAAAAAUAUCUAACCAAAAUAUUUCAAAACAACAGCAAAUAAAGCUCCCAUUUCCGACCGUAGACAACCAAUGACAACCAGCCUGAUGCUUUAAUGCCUCGCGCCCUGCUGACAGGGCACUUAAUCCAGUCGUUUCCGGGGCGUGGGACGUCUGGAGAGGAGCAUCCUCCCGCUGGGUAACGUUGCCCUGUAAUCAGGGACUACGGGUCUACUGCUUACCGGUGAUAAACGAGAACAAAACACCGCAUAGAGGAGCUAAUUGGACCGAAGGCUUCGUUAUUCAUUUCGUCCAUAUAACUGAUGGAAAUCUCUUUUGUUCAAUCUGCCCGUCUCGUGACGUCAUCUGUGUCUCCAUCCUUAGUAGUUCUGCCUUAGCGUCUCGUAUUAAAUGGUGUAUUAAACCGCUAAUGACACGUUUAAAUUGAAUAUUUUAAGAAAGUUACGUUAAACUUCGUAUGAUAUCUCAAGCUGAUUCACAUUUUUCUAUCAAUCUUAACGCUCCUCCCACCUCGCGUCAAUAAAAACAGCCGAAAAAUUAGUCUCUUUAGAUGUAAAACGUUCUUACCAUUUUGACGAAGGGGUUGAAGCUCCGCGAAAAAUCUCACAGUUCGACAGUUAUGGGGCCGAUGUAAGAGAUAAUGGCCUUCAUGAAUGGACAGCGGUUUAUGUACAAGUGCAGCACCGGCGUCGGCGGC